ensembl:lncRNA
AUGGAAAACAGCAGACCGUCUAAUUCUAUUCAUUACAUGGAGAACCUAAUCGUGAGGAAACAGCUGUCCAGGUACGUCCCUGUCCGUUCGUCACAGACAGUCUGGGUCCAGUGGCCGUCUGUGACAACACGGCACACCUCAGCUCUCAUCGCUGGAGAAGACGGUGCAGCAGCGGAGAUCACCGGCUCCACGUUGACCUCGAUAAUGGUCGGACAGCUGGGAGACUUUUCCAUGAUCUGUCUCUGGAGCAGCGCUUCACUUGGCAGCUCCGCGUGUGUUCUCUGUUGGGACAGCUGCAUCACAGACUGAGUUCUGAGCUCUGCAGAAGGACGGCUUGGAGAUAACCUGAUGACGUCACAGCCAGAUUCAGGUCUGCUAUCUCUCCCUGACAGCAGAGUCGUGCGUCACUCCUUCCAAGCAGAGCCAGAGAGAGGGAGGGAGGGAGGACUGGCAGAGGAGGUAGGGAGGGAAGGUGAAGAGAGAGGAGUCACAGCGUCUGGAGGAUGCCUCGGAUCAUUUAGAAGAGGUGGGAAAAGUGGGACCUGGGCCAGGACGGCACUAAAGUGGAAUAGUUUUUAAUAAGAAUAGGAAGGGACAGAGGGAGGAGAGUGAAUGGAGCAGAUUAUGAAAAUGACUCCUCAGUAAGUGGUAAUCAGUGGGAGAGAGGGAGCAGGGGGAAAAAGACAGCAGGGUAAACAUCUAUAUGAAGAAAAGAAAUGCAUAAUGAAGGAUGGAAGGGAGAGAACACAAAGGGGGUUAUUAGUCAUGAAAGAGAUAUAAGCCUAGUGAGAUGGGUUCAGGAAGAGGCAAGUCAACAGUUCAUCGUACCAUAGUGAACAUUUUUACGAGAAGAAAAAAACCCCAAUAUGAUUUAAAGAAUGUGGAGCAAGAUCCGGCAUUGUACUCAAGAGCUCCAGCUUGUACUCCGCUAAUUAUAGGUAUUGCAGUGUGAUAAUAACAUUCAGGGCUCGUUUGAAGAUGAAUCUCUCCCUAUGGAUUUCUUCCAUCCGAACUCCAGCACCGACAUGACCACGAAUCUUUUUUUCUUUGGUACUGGGGAAAAAAUUAUGAAAAUGAUGUGAAAUAACAAGUGAAGGGAAGAAAAAAAAAUGCUCAUGGCGCCCCUUGUGUCUUUGCAUAUUUGUGUGAAUACACAUAAUUUCACUGACACCAUUUCAGACACUUCUGAGAACAUAUAUGGUUGAUAUUUGGUGUUUGGCCUUGUCACUCUUUUAGUCCACAAGCAUCCACCGAGCUCACUACAGAGAUGAAAUAUAAGCAUCUCUAUAUACUGCUGCGAAACACAAGUCCACUUUAACUAAAUACUUCAAUACUAGACAUUUCAAUAAAGUUUUGCAUUUGCAACACUGACAGAAAAACAAAAAAGGUAGUAUUUAUGACAAAACUGCUGUAAUGAAUUGCAAUAGAUUGCACGUAGAUUGAACCCGUAGACUUUGUCUGAGUCCUCCAAUCUUAAUUUACAUCUGCAUAACAAUGUUUCACUGUCAAUGAAUGAGAUUACCGUGAUGCAGUCAGUGUUUUGGUGUUGCCCUCGCUCUCAAAAACAGAAACAUGUGGGGAAAACGUGGAGGGGGCUGAGCCGUAACCUUCGGGUGUGCACAUGUACGGCAAAGCCCCAUUACACUUCCAAGCGUGAGUGUAUAAUAGGAGCCCAACUCUUUAAAAAAAACAAAAACCAUGAUGAUCUGUGAGAAGUCGUUACGAGUCCGCACUUAUGAAAUGCAUGAUCCCAAGCUGACGAUGUCAAACAAGGCAAAACAAAAAAAGCUCUACUUUCCUGACAUGUCAUCUGACGUGUCUUUUGAUGACCGUCAGCAGGAAAGCUUGUUUAACAAGUAGCACAUGAAGAGAGGCAGCGGAGGAAAGAGGUGGGCAGAAAAGUGAUACCUUCCCGUGUGACCGGCCUUAUUGCAAACGGUGCGUUGGAUAUAUGUCGCAGUACAGUAAGUCACGUGGGUGCAGCAGUGUUUACAAUGUCAAAGUCAGUAACUUACUGCCUGUUAGACUUUGCUUCAUUUAUGCACAUCCAUCCUAUACACACUUCAACAAAUGCUAUGUGGCGGAGUCGGGAGUUCAUUCAGUCAACAUCACAGGAAUCUGUGUGCCGAUGAGGAAGCCCCCACCCUCAGUUCCUUCUCCAUAUCAAUGAGCUCGCAGUGGGUUGUGCGUCAUCAAAACAUAACACACUGUUUACAGUCAACUGCACUGUCUGACGGUGAACACGAAACCUCUAUCUGGAGAGAGAGAGAGGAAAAACCACAGUCACACAGUCUGAAGGAGCUGUACUUGGGUUCAUCGGGGCAAUUGAAUAUGCCCAAAUAGAGCAAUCGGACGAACACGUCCCUUCAAUUUUGGCCAGAUCUAAUCAGCAGUCUCUGACAUGUUAUGUGUGAUGUCAACGAUUAAAAAAACAUUGUUAUUCCCGUUGGAGCCAUCAGUAAUACCAAAGUCUAUGACGCAUCAUUGACUUUAGGGCUCGUGUGCUGGAGCCGGGCCACAGAUUAUCUUUUAGGACAACUGACGGCGUAAUUACCGCGGCCCUCGUGGAUGAUGAUUCUUUAAGGCCAAAAGCAUCAACGCUGCUCUGAAUUAUGGACUACAUAGAAUAUCUGAACACGUACAGAAGCACAGAUGUCAUAAAAGAAAAUGAGCUGCACAUCAAGAGAUGCUAGAAAGCAACAACAGAAACCAAAGAGAGUGAUGGCAAGCAAGAGCAUGUCUAUAGUUUAGUAACUGUAAUAAAUAAAAUAAAGCCAGUUUUCAUAAAAAAUAUUUGAAAGGCCUGAAAUCUUAUUUCCAGAUUAUUCAUGCAAGUAGAAAUCAUACUGUACAUUCUUACCAAUGGGUAAGAAAGAGCUCCCAACAGCAAAGUGCGUAUUUCUAUAUCCUUUCAGAAACUUUAGCUCAAAGGAUGUCAAAACUCAUUUGGAGUAUUAGGAUUUAACAACUACCUCACAUGCUUUUAUUCACCUGCAGGAAACGUCGUCUUCAAUGUGACAUGAUGCGAUAGAUUUUUGAAUUUUGUUGUUGAGUUUACUUAGGUUUACACGUUUAGAUAACAGCUCUGCCAACGUGGAACUUCUUGUUUUCCCUAAUUGAGAUAUUCCUGCGUGGCAAAGAAAAGGAAUUAUUUUUCUUCGUUCAACAAACAUAUAUUCUUGUUGAAUAAACUUAAAAUUCUUGCUUCAGUGAGAAAAAAACUUUGCCUUUGUAAAACCAGGAAAAUGUAUGUUGCUGCAACUGUACAUGGGUUAAGAUGAGUUCUGCCAGAUAAUCUUGUUUACAUGACACUCUUUGUGAGGAAGAAAAUUCUUGGUUCAAAACAAAGGUUUCUACAACAUAUUCUUGUUAAAUUAGCCACUAUGAAGCAAUACAAAUGUAUUUUAGUGUAAAUUAUAUUGAAGGAAUGCUCGUCACACAAAAAUGUAUAUAAAAUACCACUCAGCUCAAAGUUUACUGAAACCGUAUUUAUUCAUUUACUUUUGGUUUUACCAACAAUAUGGCUGCAGCUAACAAUUAGUUUCACUAUCAAUGUAUUGUGGAAAUAUUCAUCAAAGUGUGAGCGUCACUUUCCAGACAGAGAGAGAGUGAGCGAGGAAGUCUGUGUGACCCUCCGCUCUCUCUCUUCCAUGUGAAUGAAAACAACGGUGUUAAUGGGAGACGUUCAG